GGAAGUAAGGGCAUGAGGGAGGAGUCCGCCGGCAAGAACAAGCGGCCACGGUGGUGGAGCGGACCUGAUGAGUAAGACCACCCGGGCCGGGAGUCGGGUGCACGCUGGAGGUCGUCGAUGAUGCUCUUUGUAUGCUGGUCUAGCGGUAGCUCGGCACGAAGAGUGUCGAGGUCGGUAUUCACGGGACGGGACAAUGUUAAAAGUGCACAUUCUUGGUUGACAUCGUCGUAAACCCUUGACAAGGCAUCCGCCGCUGCAUUUUUCUUGCCCGGCUUGUAUUCGAUAGAGUAAUCAAAGCCGACCAAUUUCGAGAGGAACUAUUGCUGUUCUGGUGUUUGGAUGGUUUGCUGAAGAAGAUGGUGUAGCGGCCUAUGAUCUGUCCGUAUAAUGAAAUGAGCCCCGAGCAGAUAUUGACGCCACUUUUGGAUGGCCGAUCGUAUUGCGAACAACUCACGCACAUAAUAGCAAUAGAUUGAUGAAGU